rnacentral:rRNA from 1 species
GACGAACGCUGGCGGCGUGCUUAACACAUGCAAGUCGAACGGAAAGGCCCUGCUUUCGUGGGGUGAUCGAGUGGCGAACGGGUGAGUAACACGAGAGUAACCUGCCCUUGACUUUGGGAUAACUUCAGGAAACUGGGGCUAAUACCGUAUAGGAUCCCCUCCUGCAUGGUGGGGGUUGGAAAGUUUCGGCGGUUGGGGAUGGAUUCGCGGCUUAUCAGUUUGCUGGUUGGGUGGUUGCUUGCCCAGGCUUUGACGGGUAGCCCGCCGUUGAGGGUGACCGGCCACAUUGGGACUGAGGGACGGCGCAGACGCCUACGGGAGGCAGUAGUGGGGAAUAUUGCACAAUGGUCGGAAGCCGGAGGCAGCAACGCCGCGUGCGGGAUGACGGCCUUCUGGGUGUAAACCGCUUUCGCCUGUGACGAAGCGGGAGUGACGGUACUGAGUAAAGAAGCACCGGCUAACUACGUG